rnacentral:rRNA from 1 species
UACGGAGGGGGCUAGCGUUGUUCGGAAUUACUGGGCGUAAAGCGCACGUAGGCGGCCUUGUAAGUUGGGGGUGAAAGCCCGUGGCUCAACCACGGAAUUGCCUUCGAUACUGCUUGGCUUGAGACCGGAAGAGGUGAGUGGAACUGCGAGUGUAGCGGUGAAAUGCAUAGAUAUCGUCAAGAACACCGAUAGCGAAGGCAGCUUACUGGGCUGUAACUGACGCUGAUGCACGAAAGUGUGGGGAUCAAACAGG